GACUAACGCUGGCGGCGUGCCUAACACAUGCAAGUCGAACGAUUCUUUGAUUUAUAGCAAUAUUUAUUAAAGAGGAGUGGCGAACGGGUGAGUAACACGUAGAUAAUCUGCCUUUCAGACGGGGACAACUCAGGGAAACUUGUGCUAAUACCCGAUGAGACCACAAGAAGGGAUUUUUGUGGCCAAAGGCGGGCAGCAAUGCUCGUGCUGAAAGAUGAGUCUGCGUCCUAUCAGCUAGUUGGUGGGGUAAAUGCCUACCAAGGCUAAGACGGGUAGCCGGCCUGAGAGGGUGAACGGCCACACUGGGACUGAGACACGGCCCAGACUCCUACGGGAGGCAGCAGUGAGGAAUUUUCCGCAAUGGGCGCAAGCCUGACGGAGCGACGCCGCGUGAGGGAUGACAGCUUUCGGGUGUAAACCUCUUUUAUUAAGGAAAAGAUCUACUAUGCUAAUAUCAUGUAGAUUUGAUGGUACUUAUUGAAUAAGCCCGCUAACUACG
rnacentral:rRNA from 1 species